rnacentral:rRNA from 1 species
AUUGAACGCUGGCGGCAUGCCUUACACAUGCAAGUCGAACGGCAGCACGGGAGCAAUCCUGGUGGCGAGUGGCGAACGGGUGAGUAAAGUAUCGGAACGUGCCCAGCCGUGGGGGAUAACGUAGCGAAAGUUACGCUAAUACCGCAUACGAUCUAUGGAUGAAAGCGGGGGAUCGCAAGACCUCGCGCGAUUGGAGCGGCCGAUAUCAGAUUAGGUAGUUGGUGGGGUAAAGGCUCACCAAGCCGACGAUCUGUAGCUGGUCUGAGAGGACGACCAGCCACACUGGGACUGAGACACGGCCCAGACUCCUACGGGAGGCAGCAGUGGGGAAUUUUGGACAAUGGGCGAAAGCCUGAUCCAGCCAUGCCGCGUGCAGGAUGAAGGCCUUCGGGUUGUAAACUGCUUUUGUACGGAACGAAAAGGUUUGGGCUAAUAAGCUGAGCUCAUGACGGUACCGUAAGAAUAAGCACCGGCUAACUACGUGCCAGCAGCCGCCGUAACAC